rnacentral:rRNA from 1 species
AGGGCGUAUGGGGAAUGCCUAGGCUCUUGGAGGCGAAGAAGGACGUGGUAAGCUGCGAAAAGCUCCGGGGAUUUGCAAACAAGAAUUGAUCCGGAGAUUUCCGAAUGGGACAACCCGGCAGGUAGAAGACCUGUCACACGAAAGUGGGCCAACCCUCUGAACUGAAACAUCUUAGUAGGAGGAGGAAAAGAAAGAAACAUCGAUUUCCAAAGUAGCGGCGAGCGAAAUGGAAGGAGCCCAAACCGUAUUUGUUACGGCAAAUGCGGGGUAGUAGGACUGCAAUGUUCAAGUGACUGAGAACUGGAAUAAUCUGGAAAGGUUAUCCAUAGAGAGUGAAAGGCUCGUACAGGCAAUCAAGUCAUGCGAUAGCGGUAUCCUGAGUAGGGCGGGACACGAGGAAUCCUGUCUGAAUUCGCCGGGACCACCCGGUAAGGCUAAAUACUCCCAAGAGACCGAUAGUGAACCAGUACUGUGAAGGAAAGGUGAAAAGUACCCCGAACAGGGGAGUGAAAAAGAACCUGAAACCAUACGCUUACAACCUGUCGGAGCGGCUUUGUGCCGUGACGGCGUGCCUAUUGAAUAAUGAGCCUACGAGUUACUAAUCACUGGCGAGGUUAAGUGACAGGAGUCACGGAGCCGAAGCGAAAGCGAGUCUGAACAGGGCGGCUAGUCAGUGGUUGUAGACGCGAAACCUUGCGAUCUACCCUUGAGCAGGAUGAAGGUUGGGUAACACCAACUGGAGGUCCGCACGAAUAAGCGUUGAAAAGCUUCUCGAUGACUUGAGGGUAGGGGUGAAAGGCUAAUCAAGCUGGGAAAUAGCUCGUACUCCCCGAAAUGCCUUUAGGGGCAGCGUUGUAAUUGAGAGUCUACCGGAGGUAGAGCUACUGAUUGGAUGCGGGGGCUUCACCGCCUACCAAAUCCCGACAAACUCCGAAUGCCGGUAGUAUGAUUUACAGCAGUGAGCGGCCGGGUGCUAAUGUCCGGUCACAAAAGAGGAACAACUCAGACCAGCAACUAAGGUCCCCAAGAAUAUGCUAAGUUGAACUAACGAUGUUUUGUUGCAGAGACAGCUAGGAUGUUAGCUUGGAAGCAGCUAUUCAUUCAAAGAGUGCGUAACAGCUCACUAGUCGAGCGACAGAGCGUGGAUAAUAAACGGGCAUCAAGCAUAUCACCGAAGUUCUGGACACGAAAGUGUGGUAGGGGAGCAUUCCAUUCGCGUUGAAGUCGUUUCGCGAGAAACGGUGGAGCGUAUGGAAAAGCAAAUGUAGGCAUGAGUAACGAUAAUGCGGGAGAGUAACCCGCACACCGCAAGACCAAGGUUUCCUGAUCAACGCUAAUCGGAUCAGGGUUAGUCGGGUCCUAAGGUUAAGCCGAAAGGCGAUAUCGAUGGACAAUCGGUUAAUAUUCCGAUACUGACAUGUGCCUCGAUGGAGAGACGAAGGAACGUAAGUGCCGCCACCUGACGGAAUAGGUGGUUAAAGGGUGUAGGUAUAGGGACAGAUUAAGAGUUAGUUCCUGCUGAGACCUGACAGUACGGAGCGGCUACGGCCAAUCCGAUAGUGCACCCAAGUCGACUUCCGAGAAAAUCUUCUAAGUUAUAGUGCAUGUCACCCGUACCGUAAACCGACACAGGUGGUCGAGGAGAGUAUCCUAAGGUGCUCGAGUGAAUCACGGUUAAGGAACUAGGCAAAUUAACCCCGUAACUUCGGGACAAGGGGUCCCUACGCAAGUAGGGCGCAGCGAAGAGGUCCAGGCGACUGUUUAUCAAAAACACAGGGCUCUGCAAAUUCGAAAGAAGAAGUAUAGGGCCUGACACCUGCCCGGUGCUGGAAGGUUAAGAGGGGAUGUCAUCGCAAGAGAAGCAUUGAAUCGAAGCCCCAGUAAACGGCGGCCGUAACUAUAACGGUCCUAAGGUAGCGAAAUUCCUUGUCGGGUAAGUUCCGACCUGCACGAAUGGUGUAACGAUCUGGACACUGUCUCAACCGUGAGCUCGGUGAAAUUGUAGUCCCGGUGAAGAUGCCGGGUACCCGCGACGGGACGAAAAGACCCCGUGAACCUUUACUAUAGCUUAACGCUGAAUUUGGGUACACAAUGUGUAGGAUAGGCCGGAGGCUGUGAGACGGGCACGCCAGUGUUCGUGGAGCCGACGUUGAAAUACGGCCCUUUGUGUAUUUGAGUUCUAACCCCG